UACGGGGGGGGCAAGCGUUGUUCGGGAUUACUGGGCGUAAAGGGUUCGUAGGUGGCCAACUAAGUCAGACGUGAAAUCCCUCAGCUUAACUGGGGAACUGCGUCUGAGACUGGUUGGCUUGAGGACAGAAGAGGAACGCGGAAUUCCAGGUGUAGCGGUGAAAUGCGUAGAUAUCUGGAGGAACACCGGUGGCGAAGGCGGCGUUCUGGACUGUUUCUGACACUGAUGAACGAAAGCCAGGGGAGGAAACGGG
rnacentral:rRNA from 1 species